AGACCCGAAACCCGGUGAUCUAGCCAUGGGCAGGUUGAAGGUUGGGUAACACUAACUGGAGGACCGAACCGACUAAUGUUGAAAAAUUAGCGGAUGACCUGUGGCUGGGGGUGAAAGGCCAAUCAAACCGGGAGAUAGCUGGUUCUCCCCGAAAGCUAUUUAGGUAGCGCCUCGUGAAUUCAUCUCCGGGGGUAGAGCACUGUUUCGGCUAGGGGGCCAUCCCGGCUUACCAACCCGAUGCAAACUGCGAAUACCGGAGAAUGUUAUCACGGGAGACACACGGCGGGUGCUAACGUCCGUCGUGAAGAGGGAAACAACCCAGACCGCCAGCUAAGGUCCCAAAGUCAUGGUUAAGUGGGAAACGAUGUGGGAAGGCCCAGACAGCCAGGAUGUUGGCUUAGAAGCAGCCAUCAUUUAAAGAAAGCGUAAUAGCUCACUGGUCGAGUCGGCCUGCGCGGAAGAUGUAACGGGGCUAAACCAUGCACCGAAGCUGCGGCAGCGACACUCAGGUGUUGUUGGGUAGGGGAGCGUUCUGUAAGCCUGUGAAGGUGGCCUGUGAGGGUUGCUGGAGGUAUCAGAAGUGCGAAUGCUGACAUAAGUAACGAUAAAGCGGGUGAAAAGCCCGCUCGCCGGAAGACCAAGGGUUCCUGUCCAACGUUAAUCGGGGCAGGGUGAGUCGACCCCUAAGGCGAGGCCGAAAGGCGUAGUCGAUGGGAAACGGGUUAAUAUUCCCGUACUUGGUGUUACUGCGAAGGGGGGACGGAGAAGGCUAUGUUGGCCGGGCGACGGUUGUCCCGGUUUAAGCGUGUAGGCUGGUUUUCCAGGCAAAUCCGGAAAAUCAAGGCUGAGGCGUGACGACGAGGCACUACGGUGCUGAAGCAACAAAUGCCCUGCUUCCAGGAAAAGCCUCUAAGCAUCAGGUAACAUCAAAUCGUACCCCAAACCGACACAGGUGGUCAGGUAGAGAAUACCAAGGCGCUUGAGAGAACUCGGGUGAAGGAACUAGGCAAAAUGGUGCCGUAACUUCGGGAGAAGGCACGCUGACACGUAGGUGAAGUGAUUUACUCAUGGAGCUGAAGUCAGUCGAAGAUACCAGCUGGCUGCAACUGUUUAUUAAAAACACAGCACUGUGCAAACACGAAAGUGGACGUAUACGGUGUGACGCCUGCCCGGUGCCGGAAGGUUAAUUGAUGGGGUCAGCGCAAGCGAAGCUCCUGAUCGAAGCCCCGGUAAACGGCGGCCGUAACUAUAACGGUCCUAAGGUAGCGAAAUUCCUUGUCGGGUAAGUUCCGACCUGCACGAAUGGCGUAAUGAUGGCCAGGCUGUCUCCACCCGAGACUCAGUGAAAUUGAACUCGCUGUGAAGAUGCAGUGUACCCGCGGCAAGACGGAAAGACCCCGUGAACCUUUACUAUAGCUUGACACUGAACAUUGAGCCUUGAUGUGUAGGAUAGGUGGGAGGCUUUGAAGUGUGGACGCCAGUCUGCAUGGAGCCGGCCUUGAAAUACCACCCUUUAAUGUUUGAUGUUCUAACGUGGACCCGUGAUCCGGGUUGCGGACAGUGUCUGGUGGGUAGUUUGACUGGGGCGGUCUCCUCCUAAAGAGUAACGGAGGAGCACGAAGGUUGGCUAAUCCUGGUCGGACAUCAGGAGGUUAGUGCAAUGGCAUAAGCCAGCUUGACUGCGAGCGUGACGGCGCGAGCAGGUGCGAAAGCAGGUCAUAGUGAUCCGGUGGUUCUGAAUGGAAGGGCCAUCGCUCAACGGAUAAAAGGUACUCCGGGGAUAACAGGCUGAUACCGCCCAAGAGUUCAUAUCGACGGCGGUGUUUGGCACCUCGAUGUCGGCUCAUCACAUCCUGGGGCUGAAGUAGGUCCCAAGGGUAUGGCUGUUCGCCAUUUAAAGUGGUACGCGAGCUGGGUUUAGAACGUCGUGAGACAGUUCGGUCCCUAUCUGCCGUGGGCGCUGGAGAACUGAGGGGGGCUGCUCCUAGUACGAGAGGACCGGAGUGGACGCAUCACUGGUGUUCGGGUUGUCAUGCCAAUGGCACUGCCCGGUAGCUAAAUGCGGAAGAGAUAAGUGCUGAAAGCAUCUAAGCACGAAACUUGCCCCGA
rnacentral:rRNA from 2 species